GAUGAACGCUAGCGGGAGGCUUAACACAUGCAAGUCGAGGGGCAGCAUAGGGUAGCAAUACUCUGAUGGCGACCGGCAAACGGGUGAGUAACGCGUAUGUAACCUACCCUGUACAGGGGGAUAACCCGGAGAAAUUCGGACUAAUAUCCCAUAACAAUAUCCGGGGGCAUCUUUGGAUAUUUAAAGUUCCGGCGGUACGGGAUGGGCAUGCGUAACAUUAGCUAGUUGGUAAGGUAACGGCUUACCAAGGCUUUGAUGUUUAGGGGUCCUGAGAGGGUGGUCCCCCACACUGGUACUGAGACACGGACCAGACUCCUACGGGAGGCAGCAGUGAGGAAUAUUGGUCAAUGGGCGCAAGCCUGAACCAGCCAAUCCCGCGUGCAGGAAGACGGCGCUAUGCGUUGUAAACUGCUUUUCCAGGGAGAGAAACUUGCGCACGUGUUGCGCAAUUGACGGUACCCUGGGAAUAAGCAUCGGCUAACUCCGUG
rnacentral:rRNA from 1 species